rnacentral:tmRNA from 2 species
UGGUGGAGCUGGGGGGAUUUGAACCCCCGUCCGAAAUUACUACACCGUCGGCACUACAUGCUUAGUCCAAUCAUUACAUUCGCCGGCCAGCUGCGGAUGGACACGCUACUGACAAACUAUCCUGAUUAGUUUUAAUGCUUCCACCCCAGGCAAGGUUUCCACACGAGCUCUUUUAGGUUUGACCUCUCUUGAUCCCCGUCCUAAGAGCGGAGGCUAGGGAGAGAGGGCUCUAAGCAGGUUAUUAAGCUGCUAGUGCGUAGUUUUCGUCGUUUGCAACUAUUUUUUUUGCGGUUUUUUACGAGGCCACCGCACCUCGGCAUGCACCUUGGGUUUCGCGAAUCCCGUCGAAUCCAGAAUCAGCCCC